rnacentral:rRNA from 1 species
UACGAAGGGGGCUAGCGUUGCUCGGAAUCACUGGGCGUAAAGCGCACGUAGGCGGACUCUUAAGUCAGGGGUGAAAUCCUGGAGCUCAACUCCAGAACUGCCUUUGAUACUGGGAGUCUUGAGUUCGGGAGAGGUGAGUGGAACUGCGAGUGUAGAGGUGAAAUUCGUAGAUAUUCGCAAGAACACCAAUGGCGAAGGCGAGCUGU